AUGCAGAUCUUUGUGAAGAUCCUCACUGGCAAGACCAUCACACUUGAGGUUGAGUCAUCUAACACGAUCGACAAUGUCAAGGAAAAGAUACAAGAUAAGGAGGGAAACCCACCAGAUCAGCAGCGGCUCAUCUUUGCUGGCAAGCAGCUCGAGGACGGGCGAACACUUGCUGAUUACAAUAUCGAGAAGGAAUCCACCCUCCACUUGGUGCUCAGGCUCAGGGGUGGCAUGCAAAUCUUUGUGAAGACCCUCACCGGCAAGACCAUCACCCUCGAGGUUGAGUCUUCCGAUACGAUUGACAAUGUCAAAGCGAAGAUCCAAGACAAGGAGGGCAUCCCCCCAGACCAGCAGCGGUUGAUAUUUGCCGGCAAGCAACUUGAGGAUGGACACACUUUUGCUGAUUACAACAUUCAGAAAGAGUCCACCCUCCACUUGGUUCUCCGUCUCCGUGGUUGCAUGCAGAUCUUUGUCAAGACCUUGACUAGCAAGACCAUCACCCUGGAGGUGGAAUCUUCAGACACCAUCGACAACGUGAAGGCGAAGAUCCAGGACAAGGAGGGCAUCCCCCCGGACCAGCAGCGCCUGAUCUUUGCUGGUAAGCAGCUCGAGGAUGGUCGCACUCUGGCGGAUUACAACAUUCAGAAGGAGUCUACUCUCCACCUGGUGCUUCGCCUUCGUGGUGGCCAGUGA
rnacentral:rRNA from 1 species